rnacentral:tRNA from 1 species
GUACCCGUAGCUCAGCUGGAUAGAGCGUGAGAUUCCGGAUCUCAAAGCCAAAGGUUCAAUUCCUUUCGGGUACACCA